GGUAGGAGCCUUUGAAACGUGAGCGCUAGCUUACGUGGAGGCGCUGGUGGGAUACUACCCUAGCUGUGUUGGCUUUCUAACCCACACCACUUAUCGUGGUGGGAGACAGUGUCAGGCGGGCAGUUUGACUGGGGCGGUCGCCUCCUAAAAGGUAACGGAGGCGCUCAAAGGUUCCCUCAGAAUGGUUGGAAAUCAUUCAUAGAGUGUAAAGGCAUAAGGGAGCUUGACUGCGAGACCUACAAGUCGAGCAGGGUCGAAAGACGGACUUAGUGAUCCGGUGGUUCCGCAUGGAAGGGCCAUCGCUCAAUGGAUAAAAGCUACCCCGGGGAUAACAGGCUUAUCUCCCCCAAGAGUUCACAUCGACGGGGAGGUUUGGCACCUCGAUGUCGGCUCAUCGCAUCCUGGGGCUGUAGUCGGUCCCAAGGGUUGGGCUGUUCGCCCAUUAAAGCGGUACGCGAGCUGGGUUCAGAACGUCGUGAGACAGUUCGGUCCCUAUCCGUCGUGGGCGUAGGAAAUUUGAGAGGAGCUGUCCUUAGUACGAGAGGACCGGGAUGGACAUACCUCUGGUGUACCAGUUGUCGUGCCAACGGCAUAGCUGGGUAGCUAUGUGUGGACGGGAUAAGUGCUGAAAGCAUCUAAGCAUGAAGCCCCCCUCAAGAUGAGAUUUCCCAACUUCGGUUAUAAGAUCCCUCAAAGAUGAUGAGGUUAAUAGGUUCGAGGUGGAAGCAUGGUGACAUGUGGAGCUGACGAAUACUAAUCGAUCGAAGACUUAAUCAAAAUAAAUGUUUUGCGAAGCAAAAUNACGGCGGCCGUAACUAUAACGGUCCUAAGGUAGCGAAAUUCCUUGUCGGGUAAGUUCCGACCCGCACGAAAGGCGUAACGAUUUGGGCACUGUCUCAACGAGAGACUCGGUGAAAUCAUAGUACCUGUGAAGAUGCAGGUUACCCGCGACAGGACGGAAAGACCCCGUGGAGCUUUACUGUAGCCUGAUAUUGAAAUUCGGCACAGCUUGUACAGGAUAGGUAGGAGCCUUUGAAACGUGAGCGCUAGCUUACGUGGAGGCGCUGGUGGGAUACUACCCUAGCUGUGUUGGCUUUCUAACCCGCACCACUUAUCGUGGUGGGAGACAGUGUCAGGCGGGCAGUUUGACUGGGGCGGUCGCCUCCUAAAAGGUAACGGAGGCGCUCAAAGGUUCCCUCAGAAUGGUUGGAAAUCAUUCAUAGAGUGUAAAGGCAUAAGGGAGCUUGACUGCGAGACCUACAAGUCGAGCAGGGUCGAAAGACGGACUUAGUGAUCCGGUGGUUCCGCAUGGAAGGGCCAUCGCUCAACGGAUAAAAGCUACCCCGGGGAUAACAGGCUUAUCUCCCCCAAGAGUUCACAUCGACGGGGAGGUUUGGCACCUCGAUGUCGGCUCAUCGCAUCCUGGGGCUGUAGUCGGUCCCAAGGGUUGGGCUGUUCGCCCAUUAAAGCGGUACGCGAGCUGGGUUCAGAACGUCGUGAGACAGUUCGGUCCCUAUCCGUCGUGGGCGUAGGAAAUUUGAGAGGAGCUGUCCUUAGUACGAGAGGACCGGGAUGGACAUACCUCUGGUGUACCAGUUGUCGUGCCAACGGCAUAGCUGGGUAGCUAUGUGUGGACGGGAUAAGUGCUGAAAGCAUCUAAGCAUGAAGCCCCCCUCAAGAUGAGAUUUCCCAACUUCGGUUAU
rnacentral:rRNA from 1 species